rnacentral:misc_RNA from 1 species
ACAAACUUGGUCAUUUAGAGGAAGUAAAAGUCGUAACAAGGUCUCCGUUGGUGAACCAGCGGAGGGAUCAUUACUGAGUUUACGCUCUUCAACCCUUUGUGAACAUACCUAUAUCGUUGCUUCGGCGGCGUCGUCGCCGGGCGAUCUCAUCGUCGCCCCGGGGGCCGGCCCGCCGGAGGACCCACACCGAAACUCUUGUUUUUUUCACGUCGAUUCUUCUGAGUGGCAUAAGCAAAAUAAUCAAAACUUUUAACAACGGAUCUCUUGGUUCUGGCAUCGAUGAAGAACGCAGC